CGAGGUGGACCCACCGCUGGUGAACCGGUUGUCACGCCAGUGGCAUGGCCGGGUAGCUAUGUGGGGAAUAGAUAAGCGCUGAAAGCAUCUAAGUGCGAAACUAGCCCGAAGAUGAAUCUUCCACAUAAGGGUCGUUGUAGACUACGACGUUGAUAGGCUGCAGGUGUACGUGUAGAAAUACAUUCAGCUGAGCAGUACUAAUUACCCAAGAGCUUGCACAUU
rfam:Dyadobacter psychrophilus strain DSM 22270 genome assembly, contig: LX75DRAFT_scaffold00006.6